rnacentral:rRNA from 1 species
GACGAACGCUGGCGGCGUGCCUAAUACAUGCAAGUAGAACGCUGAAGGAGGAGCUUGCUUCUCUGGAUGAGUUGCGAACGGGUGAGUAACGCGUAGGUAACCUGCCUGGUAGCGGGGGAUAACUAUUGGAAACGAUAGCUAAUACCGCAUAAGAGUAGAUGUUGCAUGACAUUUGCUUAAAAGGUGCAAUUGCAUCACUACCAGAUGGACCUGCGUUGUAUUAGCUAGUUGGUGAGGUAACGGCUCACCAAGGCAACGAUACAUAGCCGACCUGAGAGGGUGAUCGGCCACACUGGUACUGAGACACGGCCCAGACUCCUACGGGAGGCAGCAGUAGGGAAUCUUCGGCAAUGGACGGAAGUCUGACCGAGCAACGCCGCGUGAGUGAAGAAGGUUUUCGGAUCGUAAAGCUCUGUUGUAAGAGAAGAACGAGUGUGAGAGU